AAGGCGACGAUGCGUAGCCGACCUGAGAGGGUGAUCGGCCACACUGGGACUGAGACACGGCCCAGACUCUACGGGAGGCAGCAGUAGGGAAUCUUCCGCAAUGGACGAAAGUCUGACGGAGCAACGCCGCGUGAACGAUGAAGGUCUUCGGAUCGUAAAGUUCUGUUGUUAGGGAAGAACAAGUACCAGAGUAACUGCUGGUACCUUGACGGUACCUAACGAGGAAGCCACGGCUAACUACGUGCCAGCAGCCGCGGUAAUACGUAGGUGGCAAGCGUUGUCCGGAAUUAUUGGGCGUAAAGCGCGCGCAGGCGGUUUCUUAAGUCUGAUGUGAAAGCCCACGGCUCAACCGUGGAGGGUCAUUGGAAACUGGGGAACUUGAGUACAGAAGAGGAGAGUGGAAUUCCACGUGUAGCGGUGAAAUGCGUAGAUAUGUGGAGGAACACCAGUGGCGAAGGCGACUCUCUGGUCUGUAAVUGACGCUGAGGCGCGAAAGCGUGGGUAGCAAACAGGAUUAGAUACCCUGGUAGUCCACGCCGUAAACGAUGAGUGCUAGGUGUUAGGGGGUUUCCGCCCCUUAGUGCUGAAGUUAACGCAUUAA
rnacentral:rRNA from 1 species